GGGGCGCACCUGCCCCGCCUCCGCCUCCCGCAGGGGCCGGGCAGUGCCGGGCAGAGCCCGCCCGCGGGACAGCACAGGACGGGGCGGGACGGGACCGGGAGAGGGAGCCGGGCUGUCCUGUGUCAGACCGGCUGAGCGCGGCGCUGGGGGAAGCGGCCGGCGAGCUGCCCCCUCGGCAUCACUUUGAUCCAUACAGCUGCAGCGGCCUCUGGUGACCAAUGUGGGAACUGCUGAUCAUAUUGUGGGAGUACCCAGCAUCCAGACCCGUCCUAGGCUGUGAUACAAACCACAAAAUGAGCACAACAACCUACACAAAUUUGGCAUAUCUGUUAUGCAUUAUACUUUAACUGAUAAAGAAUGGUUUUUAACUAUA